rnacentral:rRNA from 1 species
AACGAACGCUGGCGGCAUGCCUAACGCAUGCAAGUCGAACGAGACCUUCGGGUCUAGUGGCGCACGGGUGCGUAACGCGUGGGAACCUGCCCUUAGGUUCGGAAUAACUCCCCGAAAGGGGUGCUAAUACCGGAUAAUGUCUUCGGACCAAAGAUUUAUCGCCUUUGGAUGGGCCCCCGUUGGAUUGGCUAGUUGGUCGGGUAAAAGCCUACCAAGGCGACGAUCCUUAGCUGGUGUGAGAGGAUGUUAACCAACCUGGGGACUAGGCCCCGCCCCAGCCCCCACGGGGAGGACGCGGUGGGGAUUAUUGGCCAUUGGCGGAAGGCUUAUCCAACAAUUGCGCCGUGGGUAAUAAAGGCUUAGGGGUUUAAAGGUCUUUUUCCCGGGAAUGAUAUUACCAGAACGGGAGAAAUAGCCCCGGCUUACCCCGGUC